rnacentral:lncRNA from 1 species
GAAGAAACUGAGGUUAAAUGGGGAUCUUUUCUCUAUCAAGGUCAUAAAAAUGAGCUGGUGGCAGAGCUAGAAUCAGAGUUUAGAUUUUCCAACUGCAAAUCAAACAUUCUCUUCUCACAUGAAAAUUCAUCUUUCCCAUAAGUUCUGGUCACCUGACAUUGGAACUAUGAAGAAUAUAUAAGGGAAAUAAGAUUGCAAUAAAUCAUAAUAGUACUAUGUCCUAGACACUGUGCUUUAAUUGAUGACUCUAUAAAGUAGAUAUGAUGACUACUGUUGUGUUGUUAUUUGUUGUUGUUUCUUAUUGCUGUUAUUCUUAUUAUCAUCAUCAUCACACUUCCUUUACAAUGAAGAAAUUAAGGUUUAGAGAGGUUUAGUAACUUACCUAAGGUCACAGAGAUAGCAAGAAGCUGAACAGGGAUUUGGACUUAGAUUUGUCUCCAAAAUGUGUGGCUCCUUCACUAACACACUGUUCUACCUUACUAUUUUCUUCUUUGCUUGCUUUGAAAACAUUUGGUUUUAUGUUCACCUACAUGAAAUGCACUAAAUCUCUGGUGAUGGCAGUGUUUUACAUUUCUAACCAGAUGCAGCUGAGCAGAUCAAUGCAUGAAGUAAAUCACAAAAUAGAGAUUGAACUUAACAGGGAAAAUAUAGAGAACGCAGGAAAACACCCAGAUUGAGAUUUGGCUGCCCAAGCUGCAAAUACUUAGGAAACCAAACAACUGGCCUGACCUCAAGCACAACCCAAAUUCUCGAACCUCAUAUAAAGUGUGAACCUAAGAUACUUAAGAGAAGCCACUAAUUUCUGGUUCAGAGUGAAAAUAAGGGCACCUACAAAACAGGGAGAGUGAGGAAUGAAGCCAUUGAAGCAACUUGGACGUCGGGAAUUCACUGAAGACCAGACUAAAGAGGGGCUUGUUCUAAUAGAAAUUCAUCUAAAAAGUUGGAGAUUCUGUAGAAGAUCUGAUGAAGAGGGCCAAUCACUGAGGAAAAAUGGAUAGCAUCCUAAAACACCCACAGAAGCUCACGGAUUACUCCUGUGUUGCCUAACAACUCCAAGGAAAUUAGAACUCCUUUCCAGGAACUCUCAUGCAAGUCCUGGGAUUCAGUAUCAUGGGAUCAACUAGGUCACAUGUCCCUCACUGUGGUUAGCAGGAAGAAAAAACCCAGCUGGCUAAACCGGAGCCACAAGCUCAUUCUUGAAGCUGAGGGAGUGCGUCCACCCCCAUUUGAAUCAUAUGGACUGAUGGGGAGAUCCCCAAAGAAAACUUAAAGAACUAUUAGCAGAAGAAGAGAAAAACGAAAGUACGUCAGCUAAAAUAGCAAAGAGAUGAAUCUGCAGAAGUCCCAGGGAUACCUUGGUCAUAAGAAGUCUCAGGUACAAGUUAUCCAAGAUGGAACAGGAGUUCAAGAGCACAUCUAUUUACUGGACAAAAUAAAGCUCCAUGGUAAGACAGUUUGCAUCUGACAGUCCACUUGUGGCCAUUCCCCCACAUCCCACUCUCUCGAUGAGAACUGAGACCUUCAAUUCAGUGGUACCUGGGCUCAGGAACAGCCUGAAGGUAAGAGCUCUGCCCCACCACCUUGGACAAUGAGGACAUUUAAAGAGACUUAGUGGACCAAGCAUGAUGCAGAGGAAGAAAUAUGGGCUCAGACUUCUGUGCUGAGAAGCUGAGAAGCAGAACAAAAGGAAGGAAAUUUCCCCCAGGUUCUGAAAUAGUCAAGCUGUCACUCAAUAAGAUGAGAGAUUGGGCAGUCACAGAGAAAACAGAGAUUUGGCCAGGGAUUUUGCCCGUGGAAUCACAAUCUGGAAAUGUUUCUUUCUGGCUGCCCUGGAAGUUCACCAUUUCCAAGCUGCAUGAGAAGCUGAAUGGGCUCUUUCUCCAAUGGAUUGAUCAUUGUGCCCAAGCUAAUUACUGCCUUAAUACCCUACCUCCUGCAGAUGGCAAAUUGGGCACAGAUAAGACAAGUGGCUGGUCCAAAACCACAGGCUGAGUCAGUGGCAGGGAUGGGAGUAAGGUUGAGUAACCAGUGGCCCUUCCUUUUGUUACCCUGGCCAAGAAGCAAGCCCUGCCAGAGCAGCUGCCCUUCCCUGGUGCACUGAGAUGGGCUGGGAUGACAUAGUUGAGCCCUGCUCCACCCUCUGCUCCCUAGCUUCCCAGGUGAGCUGUGGCCUGCAGAUCUGCUGUGCUGGGAGAAUCUGCUUGCUGCAGGAUAAUAUUAGCUCACUUUUAUUGCCAUGGGCUGGGCGCCCUCCGGCAGCUUGGCUGUAAACCUUUGAUCCACUGGGCUCCAGGAGCUGCAGAUUUUGACUGUGUGCUCAGCCCUAGACUCCCCACACACUGCAUGGGGCAGGCAGAGAAAGGAGGGGCCCACAGGCAGAAAUUCAACUCCUCUGCAGCCACCUCAAAAAACAGCAGCACUCUGAGGCAGUCAGGUUAGAAGGGGAGAGGGACACUGUUUCACCAUCGUGUUCUCCAAGACCCACCAGUGAGUGUUCCCCAGACCCAGAUGCUUGUAUACCACGCUCAUGAUUUGCCCCAUAAUAACUGCAUUAUUUAUUUUGUAUUUUUAUUUAAAUUAAUUCACCAUGGAUGGUAAAACUCAAAUUUAUUUUGAAAGAAGUUUCAGAAUACUUCCACAAAUAGAAAACUAAUACCACUUGCUUUUUUGUGGGAAUUGAACAAUGAGAACACAUGGACACAGGAAGGGGAAC